rnacentral:rRNA from 1 species
GAGACCCUUGCUGUUAGUUGCAAUUUCUAGUCUUCGGAUCAGAAAGCACACUAAUAGGACUGCCUGCGUAAGCAGGAGGAAGGUUAGGGCGACGUCAAGUCAGUAUGCCCCGAAUGCCCUGGGCUACACGCGAGCUGCAAUGGCAUGGACAAGGAGCUGCAACACCGAAAGGUGAAGCCAAUCUCAUAAACCAUGUCUUAGUUCUGAUUGAGGAUUGUAAUUCAUCCUCGUGAAGCCGGAAUCCCUAGUAAUCGUAGCUCAUCAGACUACGAUGAAUAC